ACAUGGCAUGUACAUCAGGUGCUACUAAAAGUGCUUAGAAACUGCUUUUGCUAAAAAGCAGUUAAUUGGGAUUAGUACAAAAUGUUUAGCAUCUUUGUCUCCAUUCUUAUCUGACUUUGAUCUGAGCAGUCCCCUUAGAACCAGACAGAACUGGCCUGAUCCCUAACAUUUCAAUGACAAAUGACUUCCUUGUGACUGGGCUCUGUCUGCCUAAUCACAAGAUGAGGACCAUCUAGAACCACAUCUCUGACCUUCUUGGACCCCGAGACUACAUCUGUUGAAUACUUAUUCUAACUUUUUGCCUCCUGUCCAAUUCUUUUUUCCACUUAAAUCUCAAGAAGUUUGUACCCCGACAAUGUUUACUUUGCCUGUUCCCAUGGUGUGCCUCUGCCACUUAAUAAAUCUCCUUUCUCUGUCCUUUACUACUCAUCUCAGUUUCUGGUGUACUGAGGUUGAACUUGACAUAAUAGAAUCUGACAUAUUAGCUCUCUGAUCUAGAACUCCCUAAACUACCUGGUGAAGUUAGACAUAACAAAAACAAAACUCUAAGAGUCUCCUGUUAUUAUUGACUAAAUUUCUGAAGCAUUUGGGAGAAGAACUGCAAGGGCAUAUUUUGGUCCAACCCAUUCGGGUUAGGUGCUCCCACCAUUCAUAAGCACCAGGCAAUUAUCUAUGGCUUUCCUGUGUAAUUCACAGUGUUCAGAAGAAUCACUGCAUUCUUUACUUACAAAGAACUCAUACCUCUGAGGCCUCCCAACACCCUCCCUAGCUCCAUAAGCAGUCUGGGCAAAUCUCCCACCUGUUGGUCUGACUCAUGCUUGUCAUGAGUGACUAUGAUGCCAAAAUAUGGAAUGUCGUGCAUUCCAGAGGAAGUGUUGUCAAGGACUGUUAUCAGUGCCAACUUCUUGUUUACCAGUGAGGGAGCAAACGAAAAUCUCCAAGGCUGGGCCCACUUCAAGAAAGUGCCAAAUUUCAUUGAAGUGACAUGACUUUAUAUUUCCUUUCUGUCUGUCCUUACCUUUGGCUCUGUCUCCUGCCUUCUACUCCCACUUCCUUAGUGAACAAUCAGCUCUCCUUUUGGCUCCUAUCUGCCUUGUCCUUCAGUGGGUGGCAUUGUUGAAAAUUCUAUUCUCUGGUUGUCCUCUUUGCGUCUCUCUUUUCUGAGUCUUAAAAAUGACAGCUUCCGAUGGGGACAUUCCUAAGAUUACUGACAUAUGGGCCAUUAUCCACCCUCAAACUGUGUGAAGGUAGUUCCAUUCUUUUCAUUGCUUGGAGGAAAGGAAUUACAAUAUUCUUAUUGUGGGAAUAAUUUAAUGCUAAAAAUACGGAAAGUAAUUUACUGAUAAAUUCUUAGAGUUACUACUAAAAUAAAUGCUCAACAAAACCACCAAAGUUACCUUAGACUUUUCAUUUAAGUUACCAAUGCCCCUUUGUUAUUUGAGACAAAUUUAAUAAUAUGCAAGAAGAAAUGACUUUUAAUAAUGAAUAGACCCCAGUUGGAGCAGUGAAGGGUUCUGCUUAAGUAAAUGAAAAAAAAAUGUCAUGUCAGGUGUAAUCUUUUGAAUAAAAAGGAUUUUUGGAAAUGGUAACUGUAAAUAAUAAACAAGAAAUUCAUUUUUUCCACAGAAAAGCUAACAGUGCACAUUCCAAACACAAGGAGUUUCUUCUUAGAUGAAGAGGCUUUGUUUUUUCCUGCCAGUGUGAUCUUUUUUCUUAUGUGGCACUGUUUGACUAAGAUAGCUUCCCAUUUAUUUAUAGCUGAGUUCAGGAGAUACAUGUUUCCAUAUAGUGCAGGAUGCUCACUGCUCAGGAGACAUGCGGAGAAAUGUCAAGGAAGGCUGCUUAUUCUCCACAACUCCAACUGUGGGUCUCAAUAGUCUGUGAGGAUGCACUCCUACCACUUUCUUGCAGCUGUGCUUCAAAGAACUCAGGCUCCUGGGGACUGAGCCAUACCAAGGUCAAUGAACAGCUCUUUUUUCUCCUGUCUGUGAUACUCAGUUUUUGUGAAAAGAUGAGCAUCACUUCAAAUAUACUGAGAAUGCAGCUUUCCAGUUGUUUAGUUCUAUGUCCUAAUACUGUUCUUGUCCUUAAAAAGGUUGGAGGAUGUGGUUUUUGUUCCAGAACUCUAAAUAAAGUAUUCAUUUAACUCCAUGAUGGCACUUCCAGUUUCUUACUAUGCUCUAGGCCAGAAUAGAAAGCAGACAGGACCUAAACCCUGUACUCAUCAUAGAAAUUCCUCUCCCUAAGAGGAGAUUACUCUAAAUUCUCACACUCAAGUUUGAAAAAAUCCACAGAAAUUUUAUAGGAUGGGGAGGGGGGAUUUAAAUCAAGUUGCUAUUCAAAAUGUCUUUGACUUCUGACAAGAGAAUCAUUCUACUUUGUGGAACAUAAAGUGAUUAUUAUUGGGGCUGGAUACAAUGAUGUUCAGUUCAACUCAACAAUCCUUCCUAGAGUAUCUACGCAUAGUGAUGGCUGGAAAAAAAAGAUGCAAAGAUAGCUAUUGCCAUCUUCAGGAGAGAAGCUCUGUAGUUUCAGAUAGGACAAGCAUAUGAAGGGUAUUCUAGCAGUGAAAAGAAAGUCAACUACUUUUUUUUUUUUCCUCACAAGCACCCUCUUAACAAAGAAAGCAUGCAGUGGUAGAAAGGAAAUGGCUUUGACAAUCAUCUUGGCCAUGUCAUCGUCCUCAUGGUCUGUUACACAGCUGUUAGUUUGGAGGAACUGGCCUUGCUCCCCAGAGUGGAGCUGUCACAAAAUAGAGUGGAAAUGCUCUGGCUUUCAGCCCAAAAGAAUGUUCAUGCCUAGUUGUAUUACCCAGGCAUUUCCGACAGUUCUCAACAUUUCUGGGAAUUUUCUCAUGCAAAGAACUGGAAGGCAAUUCUAUUCUUAGGCUUCUUACUCAUGUUUUCUUUGUGUUACAGCAGUUGUAUUUAAAAAAAAAAUCUGGAACCAGGCACCGGUGACUCACGCCUGUAAU